CUGAUUCGUUUAAAGGUGAUUUAGGUUGGGGUGGGAACUUGAUAUAUUUAUAAAAGUCGAAGCGGGAAUACAGUCUUCAGCUCGUUUGUUUUCUGGGAUUCAAUAUCUCUAUUGGAUUUGUCGAACCAGAGUAACCAAAGAAGAACAGAAACAAUGAGAUUCCACUUCAUGUUUCUGGCUGUAUUGUGUAUAAUGGCUAUCUGCUGGUCACCUGUAGACAGUCAGCGUCCACUGUUGAAUCGGUUAUCCCAAGCAGCCAACACGGUUGAUCGUGCUAUUUGUCAAGGAUGUCCUUUGCUGUCUCGGUCUCAUCGGGAGGGCUGCUGCAACGCGCACAAAAUCGCAAGAUGCUGCUCAACAACAUAGAGCUCCAUGUACAGCUUAUUCAUUCUUCGGAACUCAAGGUGGAUGAAAUAUCAAAAUGACUUCAUUUAUGAUUUGAUAUGAUAAGGAAUGACUCCAUUCACGACAAGAAUGAUGUGAAACAUCUUUGUCAAUAAGGAUAGUUUACCAUUGCCUGCAACGUGACCAUUUCGUUUUCCGAUGUUUGGAUGCAUUGUAUUUAUUCAUUAUACUAUAACCAAAAAUUUUAUUCCAUAUCUUACAGUGAUGUAAAAAGUUUUUUUUUGUUUUUGUUUAUCCUUUUGUUGUGGUUUUACGCUAAGGUUUUGGUGAAAAAGGAGAUGUGCAAAUAAAAUAUAUAUUUUUUUA